rnacentral:rRNA from 1 species
AUACGGAGGACGCGAGCGUUAUCCGGAUUCAUUGGGUUUAAAGGGUGCGCAGGCGGCCGUGCAAGUCAGCGGUGAAAGCCCGGGGCUCAACCCCGGAAGUGCCGUUGAUACUGCAUGGCUGGAAUGCGGUCGAGGCGGGGGGCAAGUGGCGGGGAGCGGUGAAAUGCGUAGAGAUGCCACAGAACGCCGAUAGCGGAGGCAGCUCGCCAGGCCUGCAUUGACGCUCGGGCACGAAAGCGUGGGGAUCGAACAGGAUUAGAUACCCUGGUAGUCCACGCCGUAAACGAUGGGCGCUCGUCGUCGGCGGCAGACAGUCGGCGGCCAAGCGAAAGCGAUAAGCGCCCCACCUGGGGAGUACGGUCGCAAGGCUGAAACUCAAAUGAAUUGACGGGG